GUGAAGUGAUAUAAGAUGAACAUGCUAUUAUAAAUCAGAGAAGCAUGAUUCCUAAAGCAAUGAUAGGAUGAGAUAAUCGAAACUCUUAAUGAGAUAUAUACUCUAUGUGGAGUGGAGUACCUAGCUACAUGAUUACUCUUGAUAAACUCACCUAUGUGAAUGUGGAAGUGGGACCGCUUCCUAUGGAAUUUCGAGACAUAAUUCCUAGAGCGUUCACUAUUUUGGGAUACACGUGCAGGACCAUUAAUGCACGUGCUUUUGAGAAUACACCUUAUGAAGAUGUUGUGUGUGGAUUUGAUGUCAGAUAUAGAGUUCAAUACUAUGAGUCACUCUUGUUGAAUCUGAGUCUUACUCACUAUGCAAAGGUUCAAGUCAAGAGACACCGUUGUUUAUGCACGAUCUUAUAGAAACAUUUGAUGCUAUUUCAGAAACAUUUUUUUAAAUUCAAGUGGNN
rnacentral:lncRNA from 1 species